rnacentral:rRNA from 1 species
GUAGUCCUGGCCUUAAACGAUGAAUGCUUGGUGUCUGGGGUUAUAAAGUCCCCGGGUGCCGUCGCUAACGCUUUAAGCAUUCCGCCUGGGGAGUACGGUCGCAAGACUGAAACUCAAAGGAAUUGACGGGGGACCCGCACAAGCGGUGGAGCAUGUGGUUUAAUUCGACGCAACGCGAAGAACCUUACCUGGGCUAGAAUGCCUCUGACAACCCUAGAGAUAGGGGCCUUCUGGGUAAAACCAGACAGAGUGCAAGGUGCUGCAUGGCUGUCGUCAGCUCGUGUCGUGAGAUGGUUGGGUUAAG